UUGCCGAAUCAACAUGAGCAAGGAAUUUUUAAUGGAGUUUUUCAAAAUGUACCAAGAAAAACCUUGUUUAUGGGAUAAACAAGACCUGUCGUACAGCAAUAAGGAGCAUCGUUUGAAAGCUUUAAAGGAAUUACAUCAAAAAUACGCUAAAAUAUACAAAGGCGCCACGAUUGCGAAUAUGAAAAAGAAAAUCGAGAACUUACGAACUAAUUGUUAUAGAGAACUUAAAAAGGUUUUAGCUGCAAAAGCCAAAGGAGAGACGUAUAAACCUACUCUUUGGUACUAUGAUACGUUGUCGUUUCUUUACAAGGACAAAGAGCAAGACUUUAUUUAUACCCCGGCCUGCUCUUACUCAAGCGAUAACAACGAAGAGAAACAGAGCGAGAUAUAUGAAGUACUGUUAGUUGACAAUGAUGAUCAUAAUAUUGAGCCUGAAGAACAUUUAGAAACUAAUGAAUAUUUUGAACCUGAUCAUUCUGGUGAACCUGAAAUAAAAAGGCGAAAGUCCUCAUCAGUCAACUCAAUUUAUUUAGCAGACAAACAGCGGCAGCGAACGUCAACUUCGGCACCAUCUACCAGGAAUGCAGCGUGGAAAAGAGUACCUCUCGAAAUCAAAACGUUUGGCCAAACAAUUGCGUUACAACUCAAUGAAGUAGAGGAAUUUCAAAGAUUUAUCGCCGAAAAACUUAUAUCGGAUGUUAUUUUUAACGCUAGGAUGAAGAAGUUGACACCGGAUUCAUUCAUUCAUUUAUAAUCUAGACUACUAUAAUAUAAGUCCUAAGUAUAAACCUACUACAUUUU